rnacentral:rRNA from 1 species
UACGUAGGUGGCGAGCGUUGUCCGGAUUUACUGGGCGUAAAGGGCACGUAGGCGGCCCCGUAAGAUUGGGGUGAAAGCUCCCGGCCUAACCGGGAGAGGACUCUGGUGACUGCGGGCUUGAGGGCAGCAGAGGUCGGUGGAAUUCCCGGUGGAGUGGUGAAAUGCGUAGAGAUCGGGAGGAACACCGGUGGCGAAGGCGGCAUCCUGGACCAACACUGACACUGAGGAGCGAAAGCCAGGGAGCAAACGGG